rnacentral:rRNA from 1 species
GAUUAACGCUGGCGGCGUGCAUAACACAUGCAAGUCGAACGAUGAAACUUAAAUGAUUUCUUCGGAAUGAACUUAAGUGGAUUAGUGGCGGACGGGUGAGUAACGCGUGAGUAACCUGCCUUACACAAGGGGAUAGCCGUUGGAAACGACGAAUAAUGCCCUAUGAAACUAUCACUUCGCAUGAAGCGAUAGUCAAAGUGUUAGCGGUGUAAGAUGGACUUGCGUCUGAUUAGCUAGUUGGUGAGAAAAAAGCCCACCAAGGCAACGAUCAGUAGCCGGCUUGAGAGAGUGUACGGCCACAUUGGGACUGAGACACGGCCCAGACUCCUACGGGAGGCAGCAGUGGGGAAUUUUGCACAAUGGGGGAAACCCUGAUGCAGCGACGCCGCGUGAUUUAGAAGGCCUUCGGGUUGUAAAAAUCUUUUGUAUAGGAAGAAAAUGACAGUACUAUACGAAUAAGGUCCGGCUAAUUACGUG